AUACUUACCUGGCAAGGGAGAUACCGUGAUCAAGAAGGCGGUUCACCCAGGGCGAGGCUCAGCCAUUGCACUCCGGCUGUGCUGACCCCUGCGAAUUUCCCUAAAUGUGGAAAUCUC
rnacentral:snRNA from 8 species